CGAGCCGCAGAAAUUCAUAUGAAGUUCACGAGCAUGCCCCCUCGCCAACCUUCCAUACCGGAGCUUUCCUUGCACACCCCCUUCCCAUUUUAGCCCCCCUUUCAUGGUCCCGCUCAGUCUGUCAUCGACCCGUACGUGCGCCUCGCCUCGAAUACUCCCACCCGCCUUUUUCCUGCUCUCCGGGUACAUCGUUCCAGCUGGCGGGCGCCUCUGCACCGGCGAGCCAGCGGCCAUUCGCGAUUUGUAAAGCAGAGAUGGCGGCAGGCCCUGACACGGGAUGAUUUCAUAGUCUAGAGAGAGGAGGGGUGUUGGGGGGGCUAUACGGCAGAUAUAUUGGGAAGGCAACGCAGGGCCAAGAAAGUGAAGCGCCAGCGGUGUCACAAGUUGAUUAAAAGAGCAAGCAAGUAUGCCCCCUCGUGACACAAAAAAGGCCAUCUUCCUCAAAGCCAGACGGAUGAGGCGAUAAAGACCAGCGGACCUGCCGCAGUCCCGUGUGGGAACAGAGCCGUAAAACAAGGACUUGGACACGCUACUGACAGCACACACUGCUGUUAAAACGUACAUCACAGGACGAAACCGGAGCACCCAGAGAAAACCAACCCAGGCACAGGGAGAACAUGCAAACUCCACACAGUCGGGGCCGGGAUUUGAACCCCGGUCCUCAGAACUGUGAGGCAGAUGCGGUAACCAGUCGACCACCGUGACAUACAGUGGUGAAGCACGGUGGUGGCAGAAUCAUGCUGUGGGGGUGAUUUUCAGCUGCAGGGACAGGAAGACCGGUUGCAAUCGAAGGAAAGAUGAAUGCGGCCAAGUACAGGGAUAUCUUGGACAAAAACCUUUUCCAGAGUGCUCAGAACCUCAGACUGGGCCGAAGGUUCACCUUCAAAAAAGACAAUGACCCUAAGCACACAGCUAAAAUACCGAAUCUACUGUUCUUGAAUAGCCCAGCCAGAGCCCUGACUUAAACCCAAUGGAGCAUCUCUGGAAAGACCUGAAAAUGGCUGCCCACCAACGUUCACCAUCCAACCUGUCAGAACUGGAGAGGAUCUGCAAGGAGGAAUGGCAGAUGAUCCCCAAAUCCAGGUGUGAAAAACUCAUUCCCCAAAAGACUCAUGGCUGGAUUAGCUCAAAAGGGUGCUUCUACCAAAUACUGAGCAAAGGGU